AGUGAACGCUGGCGGUAGGCCUAACACAUGCAAGUCGAACGGCAGCACAGUAAGAGCUUGCUCUUACGGGUGGCGAGUGGCGGACGGGUGAGGAAUACAUCGGAAUCUACUUUUUCGUGGGGGAUAACGUAGGGAAACUUACGCUAAUACCGCAUACGACCUACGGGUGAAAGCAGGGGAUCUUCGGACCUUGCGCGAUUGAAUGAGCCGAUGUCGGAUUAGCUAGUUGGCGGGGUAAAGGCCCACCAAGGCGACGAUCCGUAGCUGGUCUGAGAGGAUGUUCAGCCACACUGGAACAGAGACACGGUCCAGACUCCUGCGGGAGGCAGCAGUGGGGAAUAUUGGCCAAUGGGCGCAAGCCUGGUCCAGCCAUGCCGUGUGAGUGAAAAAGCCCUUCGGGUUGUAAAGCCCUUUUGUUGGGAAAGAAAAGCAGCAGGUUGAUACCCCGCUGUUCUGACGGUACCCAAAGAAUAAGCAACGGCUAACUUCGUG
rnacentral:rRNA from 1 species